rnacentral:rRNA from 1 species
UACGUAGGGUGCAAGCGUUGUCCGGAAUCAUUGGGCGUAAAGCGCGUGUAGGCGGCUCGGUAAGUCUGCUGUGAAAGUCCAGGGCUCAACCCUGGGAUGCCGGUGGAUACUGUCGAGCUCGAGUCCGGAAGAGGCGAGUGGAAUUCCUGGUGUAGCGGUGAAAUGCGCAGAUAUCAGGAGGAACACCAAUGGCGAAGGCAGCUCGCUGGAACGUGACUGACGCUGAGACGCGAAAGCGUGGGGAGCAAACAGG